rnacentral:lncRNA from 1 species
UUCUGUGAGGAUUAUUGCAUGUAUACAUAAAUAACCAGUUGACACUCUCAUUUUAAUUCUUAUCUAUCAUGAGAUGGUGAUUUAUUACCCCUAAUGUAUAUUAAGAAAUGGCUGUUUUGGUGACGAUUUCCAGAUUUCCAUUUGAGUUGACCUGUUGAAAGUUAUUUGACUAAUUAUGAAGAACAAGAAUCCGAUGACCCUAUGGUUUCUUCAUUAAGAUGAGGGGAUGGAUCUCCCCCUUAUCGUCGGGGUCACCUGAGGCUUGUGGGUUACUCUCUGCCUUUCUUCAUGGUCCUGAGUGUGGGGAAGAGUUUAAGAUGCCACAAGAUGUGGUGUUUGUUUCAAUUCUGCACAGUCUACUAAAAGGAGAAUACACCUCCAUCCCUUCUAGAGACUUUAGCCGAUCCAGAAGCUGGUGUCACUCCCAUGAGUCACAACAACAAGCACUCUACCAAAAAUGCCAAGAAGGACCAGGAAAAUGCUGGGGCCAUUUUCAGUUGGCAGUGUGAAUCCAUGGGGACCUCCUCUGUUAACUGGAAGAUUCUGCACACCCUGCCUACCCUAGAGGCCACCCUACGGGCUCCUGGGCACAUCCACCUCCUGAACCUUGGUGGCCCUGGGGACUACCCUAAACCCCUCCACCUACACCACUUGGUAAGAUGAUCUGAGCAGUAUGUGUUGACUUGCAAAACACAUUCAUCUAAUUUUUGUUGUUGUGAGUCUUGGAGAAAGUGCAGAGGUGUUACCACCAGGCAUUAUAAUGCAAGAGAAAUGUGUCUGCCGCCAUUACCACAUUCCUCGAGUGUCUCAUGAUCCACAUAUCAUCUUUGUGUCAUUUCUCCCACUCUGUGUUGGUACAUAUGUCUCUUGUGGAGAUGGAAUGGGGCCAUAUACAGAAAAGCAGGCAUGGCGCUUCAGCAGAUGUGUGCCAUACACAGUCCACGUGCUGGGCGGUGGGAGGCAUGAGGCUCAGCCUAACGUAUAUCUAUCCAGUUGAGCCCUCACUCAUCCACAGUUGUUUGAUGAGUCAUGAAAGCAUCUGAACCAGGGCUAUAACAGGUCUUCAUCAAAGUUUAAGGGAUGGUUCUCCCCUUCACCUUGGGAUCACCUGAAGCAUGUGGGAUACCCUCUGCAUGUGAUUUGGGAUGUGAUUGGGCCAAAGAGUUUAAGUUGUUUGAGGAAUGAGGUGAUGGUUUUUGUUUUUAGGUUUUUUUUUUUUUUUUUUUUUUUGUCUCUGCACAAUCUACUCCAAUCAAAAUAAACCUCCAUCCCUUCUAGGCUCUUUUGCA